ensembl:lncRNA
AUGCAGGAAAUCCUCCAAACCAAAGUUCGGCUGCUGCAAGAGGAGGCCUCGCUGGCACGAGGCGAGGCCGAGCGGAUGGCCGGGCUGGCGGACUCCGAGGCUCGGCGCUGCCUGGCUCUGGAGAGAGAGAUGGUGGAGAGGACGGAGGAGGAGAGCGGCGGCUCGGGUGUGCUGCUCGGCCGGCAGACCGUUGCCGACAAAGACAGGGUCAUUGAGGAGCUGACGCAGCAGAAACAUUCGCUGGCUCUCCGAAUCGAGGAGCUCGAGGUCAAAGUUCACCGUCUUUCCUCUCCUCUCAAAAGGAAAGAAAGAGAAACUGAGGUAUUUUUUUUUUUUUUUGCUUUCCGCUGCUUUCAAAAGAAUCCAUACAUGGUUUACAUGGACACAUGGACACAUACAUGGACAUAGCCUUAAACACACACAUGUUCACUCAUCAAAUGCAUCCUAAUGACAGCUGGGCAGCUGUCUGUCAACUUGUACUUAAGAAUGACGUCAGAAAGACCUUGAAUCCAGUCAGCGUGAUCAACCCUCGUCUUCCUCCGGUUUUUAUAUUCAUACGUGGGUCAGUGCGACUUUGUCAGAACCACCAUUAAAAAUGAAAACGGGUUUACAUAUUGUUUGUGGCGCGACCUGUGAGGUUCUGUUUUCAUUGGACAUCUUCCUUGUUGUCAAAGCAAAGCAGUGCCGUAAGAAAACGGAGGGACGAAGGUUUACCACUCAGACGCGGCGGGUGUUCCUCCCCCCAGAUAAUAGAGACGCAGCUCCACAUAGUGGUGCCUGGUCUGCCUUGCAUGCAUGACGUCUUUGCUCCGGGUGGAUUUCUCUCUUUGGAACACUUUCUUCUUUUCCUCCACAUUUCUCUCAAUGUUUCUGGAAAUAUUGUGUUCUUCUACUCCAUUUAUCUAACAGCUAUAUAGGCUCCUUGUGUGUAGCUGUUUUUUCUCACAAACAAUUCGAUAGAUUGUUAAGAUUGACGACACACACUCUGGAAUGAAGCAGGUUACUUUAAUCUUUCAACCAUGAGAACCAUUUACUGCUAGGAUCUUGUAUUUACUUUCUACUGUAGAAAAAUAUUCAGGUCUUUUUUGUAACAAAAUACUUUUUCAUUUCGGUGGACUCUUCACGCCUGGUUCCUCUUUUAUAAAGUCCCUUCUGCUUGUUUUGCUCCCGCUUUACUUCUUUUACUUCCUGUGCCCUUUGUCCUUUCCCUUUUACACACAACAUAUCUUUUUUUAAAGACCUACGACAUUCAAGCACAAAACUAUGAUUAAAAAAAGAAGAAAGAAAAAAAAGUUCUUACACCUUCAAGUGACUUUAAGGAGCCGCAAAAUCAAAUAAUUGUAGAAACCUCGCACCACGUGGCCCCAAUUGUAUCAGUUGAUAUUACUCCUUUAAAAAUAUAUCUUUAUCCAAAUUAAACGCAGCGGCACCCGCUGGGUCAGAGAAUCCGGGUCGCUGCAGGGCUCUCGCGCACAGGACAGUCCUGUCCAGUCCUGCUCGCUCCGCACAGAGGGCCGCUUCACCGGCCGCUUCACCGGCCGCUUCACCGGCCGCUUCACCGCCCCCCCCCCCCCCCCCCCCCCCCACGCGCGCACUGAAGGAACCGGUUGUGAAUUCUCUGCUUGUCACUCUUUUGGUAUUUCUGCCACUCUGAGGAAAAAUAAACAGCGGGCGCAAUCCGUCAGCGGUGUUUGGCACUCGUCUCUGAUUAGGAUUAAUUGAUUUUUGAUUGCGUGCCUCAUUCCUUCCGAUCUGUGUUUUGGUGGCGUGUCUCCAGAGGCCCUUGCAGGGUGACGGAUGUAGACGUAGUCAGGGCCAGAAGAGACUUCGGCGGUUGUCCACUUGAACACGCGCACACACAGAGUUGUGCCAACAACACCUCCACCCUGCUGCGAUAACGAAGACUAUCUGCGAGUCUGUGGGGAAAAGAGCCUGCUGGAAUGACAUCAUUGUCUUAAGAGCAAAGUUCUGCUGCAGUUACUAAGGCGCCAUGUGAUUCGCUGACACGAGCUUCAGGGGAAAUGAGAGGUCACUCUCUCCUCGUUGUGUGACAUGCGUGUGAAGCCUGGGCGAGGUGACCCUGGGAAAGGCAUGACCUCAUUCCACGCCGUCAAUUCAGAGAAUUUAAUGAACCCGGUGGAAAACGAUUGGGAGUGCUCUGUUCAGUUCAUAGCGUCCACACAGAGAAAUAUUGGCACGAAAGACCAUGAUGGAAAUGUAAUAUCUUGGAUUACACAAGUUGACAUAAGGUGCUGUAAUAAAAUAGUGAUCCGUUUCUGCCCGCUGAAGUGCCUUUUAAUGUCAGCAUUGGGAGUUUGAAUGCAGACAGAAACAGAGCAAUCCAAUGCUUUUAGAGAGAUUGGAAGGUCUGUCAUAAAACUGGACACAUUAAAAAACUGUGUUUUUCAAAGUGUUGAGUAUGUACUCACUGUUUGAUGGAAUGUUUCGCCUGAAGGAGUCCCAAAUGUCCAGAUGGUGUGGUGGUUAGCAGUCAGAAUCCACCCAGUGGGUUUGAGACCACCCAGCGGCCUCUCUGUCUCUACGACAGGCCUGUGAUUGACGGGCGAGCAGUCAAUGGUGUACGCCGUCUCUUGCCCAAUGCUGGCUGGGAUUGACUCCAUUAUUGAACAUAAGUGACGGAUUGAGUCCCAAAUGUCUAACCAAGUGCAGUGUUGCACAAGUGGGUUCUGUUUGUAGUUCAAGAAUAUCAUUUCAUUAUUGGAUUUUCUUUCUGAGAGUAUUCUGCUGAUUGUUGGUUGUAGCCGAUUCUUUUGUAUCAUUUAUCACAUCGGGUGCGGUGAUUCACUGAAAGAAAGAACGAGCAGCAGAGAAAAGUACUAAGUUUGGAGGUACUUGUCCAUUGCUACCUGAUACUUGUAUUCCACUACUUUCAGAGGAAGACGAUUUUUUACUUACAUUCCACUACAUUUUCAAACAACAAAAGCUACAGAUCUACAGAUAUCAUUCUAGUUACCAAAUAUGUGAUCAAUUGAGAAAAUUGUACCCAUUUCUACAUUUGUUCAAUAUAGCUCAACUCGACCGACAACAACAAUGUUCUGCUUACUUUACAUACUUAUAAAUCAAUAAUAAUAAUACCAAUAAUCAUACAAUACAAAAAAGAUACACUGAAACAACUCUGCAUUAUGAUAUAGGUUUGGUUAAUACUGAACUUAAAAAAAGGAAAAAUAAAUAAUACAAAAUAUUUAAGUCUUGAGAUCUCCUUUUUAUUUCAUAUUAGCUGUUUGGUUUGUGUUCAAACAUUUUUACAUAUUAAUUUAUAGUUAAAAUUCGUGUAAACUAAAAUAUACAUUUAAUUAAUUUUCUGUUUUUUUAAAUCCUCGGAGUGAGACAUUUUCCCGCAAAUAUACGAUCUUUGUUCGCUGUCGGCGUCAUCUCGUCAUGCGAGCGGCUCGGGGAGCGUCGGCCUCUCCCUCCAUCCUCCGCCGCUGCCGGUGAGGAGGAAACGGAUCGGACACUCGGGGAAUCUCCGGUGAACCUCCAGGCGCCUAAACAAAAAAAAAGCCUCGGUCGUUUUGUUUUUUUCCGUGUUCGUGUCGGAUUGUGACGGUGGGGGGGCGCGCAGCUGCAGCGGGGAGAUGCUGUCAUGCAGAGAGACGUCAUUGAUUUAAAUAAACAAAUACAGCAGUGAGAUCGUUUCUUAAAGCCGGAAUCACCGGGACAGGAACCGACCUGUCAUGAUUUUUACAGAGAGCCGUCGAGGAAGUGAACGCAUGACAAGCGGUUCACCAACAUCCGCCCUGCCGCCCAGCGCGACGAGGUUACAGGAACGACGAGACGGAUGAUCCAAAAAAGUGUUAAUGAUCAAUCCGAAUUUUCCACGCGUGGAGUCAGUUCAUCUCCAACUCUCUCUUUCUGCCCGUUCGAUUAAAGUUUAUGAUUCAGUGCAGAGCAGUUAAAGGGAUUUUAUUCACGCUGGAUCGUUCCCUCAGAAUGGAGCCUGAAACGCUUAAACCACAUUCAACUUCAGCUUGGAACCACUUUCAUUUCUAAAAGAACAGCAGUUCACGACCUGAACGGUUAAGAAGCAACAAAAACAUCAAAGCAACUCUCUUCAAGGAUAAAAAAAAAAAAACUGUUGACGCCAUAGCGCCGCUCCGUUGUCGAUACCGG